CCGCAUUGCUCUAGAUAACAGUCAAGUGUCACGUGGUACAUUUGUUUGGGUUUAGUGUCGAGCGUGGUCUAUAGAUAUUAUAUUAGUUACUGUUUGAGGGAUUUAGAAUACAUAGUUAUUAUAUGAUUUAAUAGUAAAACGACUGUAAUGGAUAACAAGAUGUCAGCACCUCCCCCAUAUUCACCAAAUGACUAUCCCCCACCCCAGCAGGGACAUCCCCCGCCUCCACAAGGAUACGGACCCCCUCAACAGGGAUACGGACAUCCUCCACAAGGAUAUGGACCUCCACAAGGAUAUGGACCUCCGCAGGGAUACGGACCACCUCCACAACAAGGUUAUUAUGCUCCAGGCCCACAGCACACUAGUUCUAGUACUAGUAAUGUAGUCGUUGUUAAUCAACCUGGUGCAAGCCAUGUUAUUGUUCAGCAGAGACAAGGAGUAAAUCAUCUGUUACACUGUAUUAUAAGUCUCUUCUGUCCAUUCUGGAUCUUUGUCUGGAUGAUAUUGUGCUGUGUAGAGGGAUGUUAAAGAUGUUUUCAGAAUCAACAGCCGACCAUUUCUUAUCCUACCACUCCGUUUUCAAAAUAAUGGAGAUUUUUUUUUCUGAUUUGAAAGUGAAUGAAAUAAAUCCAAGAUUUAUAAAACUAUUUAGCCAACCAAUCAACCUUAAAAUCUUAACUAAUUAAAUUGAAGGUUCAUUUUAUUAUUCGAAUAAUCUUAGUUUUUAUUAUGCGAUUGCUGUGCUAUUCAAUAUUCGGUUCAUUUUAAAUGAUAUUUUUUUGCCAUUUUUGGUGACUAUUCAGAUGUGUAAUCUUUCAAACCAAUAUUUUCCUGUAUCGUUUUACUUCUUUUCAAUAUUAAUUCAAUUUCAUUGAAUUGAUAUCAGUUAAUUUCAUUGAACUGAUAUUAAUAAAUAUUUCCGUUAGAGACAAAAGCCUAACAAUUCACACUAACGUUAACAAAUACCAAAUAUUUAAUUCGAAUAGAUAUUUAAAGAAAAACUAUUCGAAAUCGAAUAUUCGGAUAUUUGUGUUAUCACUGCUAAUAUUGUAUAAAUUUGCUGAUAAUGCCCAAUCUGAUUACAACACAGAUCCUAUUUCGUUUCUUUUUUUUAUAGUUCAAAAUUUCGUUUUACUUGUCUUCACAACACUAGGAUCUGGAAGAGUUGUUAUGUAACAGGCGUUCUAGUUAAUGUGAGGGUAAACCACUAGAAACGUCAACGCUGAUUGAUUAAUCAAUGUCUGACGUCGUAGGGUCAAAUCCGCUCGUAUGACCCCUGACGCGACCUCCCAGUACAACGGGUCAGAUCUCCAUGUAGUGUUGGCCAUCGAAAGUAUAAAAAAACGAAACGAAAUAUAGAUCUGUAUUUUAAUCAAAUUGGAUAAAGCCUAGAUCAUUUUAUUUUGAUUCGGCCAUUUGUAUUUUACCGUGGAAUUUUUCAUUAAAGUUUAUAUAAAUAUAUAGCAAAUAUCUGGAACUGAAUUUCAGUUUAACCAGAAAAUAAAUUAGCUCCAUUUGAAAUCCCGUUUUCAUUAGCCCAGUCGGUGCAGAACAGGACGUUAGACCUUAUUACAUUUUACCAUUUGAUUCACAUUCGAAUGUAUUCGCUCCAUUGCUGAAUUGCCCCAUGUGCGUUUAUUUACGGACUUUUACGUGGUCGUAACCGGAAUCUCCAAUAGCAACAUUGCUUGGUGUUGACAUGAUGAAGAGUAUGCAAACACGUUCAAUAACAGCUGAUUUGCGAAAUUCACACAGACAGACAGUCGUAGAAUUUACCCUUCCAUUUACAGUUUUCUACAAUGUUUACAUCAAAACCACCAUCUGUACAGCCAACUUGAUUACUGUGUGCAGUAUUAGAGGACCCCCCCCCCCCCCCACACACACACACACACACACACGCUGCUACUGUAUAAGUGUUUAUUAAAAUAUACAUUAGAAAAUUACUAUAUUCUGAUUUAUGCGUAAAGCUUAAAAUGUCAAGGGGCGCAACUCUUGUUUGGUUGGGGCGGGGUCAUUAUCACUCGGCUCAUUCUUUUUAAUGUUACUAUAUUGUAAUUAAUAUAUAAUGUUUUAUGAUAUGACAAGAUGGUUUAUAUGAUCAUCUUCAAACUCUUUACCCUAUACAACGUUUCAAAACACUUUAUUCUUAUAUAGGUCUGUCAGGGCCGUAACUAGUUCAGAGCAACGAGGGGGACUGGAAAUAUUCUCAGAGGUGCUGUAAAUUUGACGGACAAUGUAUAUCUGUUGUUUUUAUGGUUGACAAUUUUAUGGUUGCCCCCCCCCCAUACACGAUACACGAUGCCAAAUACAUGAUAAUUAUAAUACAAGAAUAUUGCAAAGCCUGGGACUUAAUCAGUUAGAGAUGCUAAUCAAAAUGUAUUGAACAUUUGUUAUGAUUUAAAUCCGACUUGCAUAGACUCUUUGUCACUUUAACAAAAAUAAAUUUUAGUAAAUAAACAGAAUCUUGGAUGUGUCCACUUGACACAAACUAGGUCAUUUCGGGACUAACAUAACGUGGGGGUCUUUAGCAGUGGGAGGAAACCGGAGGACCCGAGAAAAACCACAAGGUUGGACAGGCGAUCCUACUCCUUCUCACGUUCAACCGAGGAAUCAAACCACACCAAUUGACUCCAUGACAAACCCACCUAAUCUUAAAUAGAAUGACGAUGAUAAUAUAGCCAAAAUGAAAUCUAAACUUUUCACUGAGUAAUGUUUUCAUAUGUAUUUUAGAUAUUUAGGAAAUGUUUUCUUACAUAUUUUGCAUAAAUAAAGUUAUCGUAUGUAUUUUACUUAAGCACAGUUUUCAUAUGUAAUAUUGUAAUAUAUUUGACAUAAGUAAUGUUUUUUUUUGUGAGAGAGUGAGAGAGAGAGAAAUGGGGUUUAACGUCCACUCGUCACAAACUAGGUCAUUCCGGGACUAACACAUAGUUCAAUUUUAUUUUAAUAAUUCGCUUGCACGUAGGGGUCUUUUAGCAGUGGGAGGAAACCGGAGAACCCGGAGAAAACCUACUCCUUGUCACGUACCACCAGAGAAUCGAAAUCAUGCCAACUGACUCAAUGACAGACCUUAUGAUACAGCGCGCACGUGCUGUAAUUUUGUUACAGUUUUUUUUUCCAUAAGUAACGGUUUCAUGUGUAAUUUACAAUUGUUACGGGAAUUUUGUGUAAGUGAUAUUGUUAAUACUGUUUGUUAGUUAUAUAUGACAUCCAUGGAAACAUAGUAAAACAUAUCGCUCAUGUUUACUUAGAAAUGUUAUUAUAAUAUUCAAGUAAUUUUAAUUAAAUCGAUUUUAUUUUUCAUAAAAGAUAUAUCAGUAUAAUUUGUCAAUAUUGUUUUUUUUUUAUAAUUGAAUAAAGGAAUCGACACGUUUAUAAAAAAAUUUAUAUAAUGCUUAUUAAAUUUUUAUAUUAAUA